CUCGGCAACGGAUAUCUCGGCUCUCGCAUCGAUGAAGAACGUAGCGAACUGCGAUACUUGGUGUGAAUUGCAGAAUCCCGUGAACCAUCGAGUCUUUGAACGCAAGUUGCGCCCGAAGCCAUUCGGACGAGGGCACGUUUGCCUGGGUGUC
rnacentral:rRNA from 1 species